UACGUAGGGGGCGAGCGUUGUCCGGAUUUAUUGGGCGUAAAGAGCUCGUAGGCGGUUCGAUAAGUCGGACGUGAAAUCUCCACGCUCAACGUGGAGGGGCCGUUCGAUACUGUCGUGACUCGAGUCCGGUAGGGGAGUGUGGAAUUCCCGGUGUAGCGGUGAAAUGCGCAGAGAUCGGGAGGAACACCCGUAGCGAAGGCGGCACUCUGGGCCGGUACUGACGCUGAGGAGCGAAAGCGUGGGGAGCAAACAGGGAUUAAGAAACCCUUAGAGUC
rnacentral:rRNA from 1 species